rnacentral:rRNA from 1 species
GAUUAGAUACCCUGGUAGUCCACGCCGUAAACGAUGUCGACUUGGAGGUUGUUCCCUUGAGGAGUGGCUUCCGGAGCUAACGCGUUAAGUCGACCGCCUGGGGAGUACGGCCGCAAGGUUAAAACUCAAAUGAAUUGACGGGGGCCCGCACAAGCGGUGGAGCAUGUGGUUUAAUUCGAUGCAACGCGAAGAACCUUACCUACUCUUGACAUCCAGAGAACUUAGCAGAGAUGCUUUGGUGCCUUCGGGAACUCUGAGACAGGUGCUGCAUGGCUGUCGUCAGCUCGUGUUGUGAAAUGUUGGGUUAAGUCCCGCAACGAGCGCAACCCUUAUCCUUUGUUGCCAGCGAUUCGGUCGGGAACUCAAAGGAGACUGCCGGUGAUAAACCGGAGGAAGGUGGGGAUGACGUCAAGUCAUCAUGGCCCUUACGAGUAGGGCUACACACGUGCUACAAUGGCGCAUACAAAGAGAAGCGACCUCGCGAGAGCAAGCGGACCUCACAAAGUGCGUCGUAGUCCGGAUCGGAGUCUGCAACUCGACUCCGUGAAGUCGGAAUCGCUAGUAAUCGUGGAUCAGAAUGCCACGGUGAAUACGUUCCCGGGCCUUGUACACACCGCCCGUCACACCAUGGGAGUGGGUUGCAAAAGAAGUAGGUAGCUUAACCUUCGGGAGGGCGCUUACCACUUUGUGAUUCAUGACUGGGGUGAAGUCGUAACAAGG